rnacentral:misc_RNA from 1 species
GGACAAAGCAUCUCCAAAUGCUGGUUACGUGCUUUUAAUGUUUUAUCAUCUUUAUGAUGGCAAGAGUCAACAAGAGUUUGAGAGUGAAUUAAUUGAACGUUUUGGCUCUCUAGUGAAGAUGCCAUUGCUGAAAUCGGAUAGGAGUCCUCUGCCAGAUCCUGUGAGGUCAAUUUUGGAAGAGGGAAUAAAUCUAUACGGGCUUCACACCAACAGCCAUGGCAGAAUGGAAUCUACCAAGGGGUCAUAUGCAAAGGAAUGGGCAAAUUGGGAGAAGCGGUUGCGUGAAGUUCUAUUCAGCAAUGCGGA